CCUACGGGUGGCAGCAGUGAGGAAUAUUGGUCAAUGGCCGGAAGGCUGAUCCAGCCAAGCCGCGUGAAGGACGAAGGUGCCAAGCAUUGUAAACUUCUUUUGUCAAGGGACAAAAUCAAGCUCGAGAGCCUGACCGAGGGUAGUUGAAGAAAAAGCAUCGGCCAACUCCGUGCCGGCAGCGGGGGAAAUACGGGGGAUGAGUGGGUUAUCGGGAUUCGUUGGGGUAAAGGGGGGUGUGGGGGGGUUGUUAAGUCCGCGGUAAAGGCGCGGGGCGCAACCCCGGCGAGCCGUUGAAACUGGGUGACUUGAGAGAUGGAGGGGGAUGCGGAAUUCGCAGUGUAGCGGUGAAAUGCGUAGAUAUUGAGAAGAAC
rnacentral:rRNA from 1 species